AGAUUUAAUUUCCGUCUCAGUCAGGGACCCUGAAAGUGUUGAAGAAACCCUCCUCUCCUGCAAAGAGUUGAAUGUUUUGACUGUCCUCUGUAUGCUGCUGUAAUGGUGAUAAAAAGCAUACAGCCUGGAGCAUAGAUGUGUGAAAAGAGAUUAGGCAGUGUGUGAAAACACUUCCCACCAGCCAUUUGACAGGUUUUUUUUUUGAAAUGCUAUGUCAGUCCUAUGAAGCUGUUACCUUGGAAUUCACACCUAUUGGAUUCUACAUCCAGCUUCGUUUAUCUUUGGAAAAAUUUCAAGAUCGAAGGGACACAUGGGGAGAUAACAACUAUUAAUUGAGCACCUACUACCAGCCAGAAACAACUUUGGAGUAUUUCACAUUAGCAGGACACUCCCUGGGAAGGACCUAUCCAUCAAGCCUCAAAAUGACAGUCUCUGGAAAGGAGCCAAAAGAUUGAUCCUUCCCCAAAUAAAUCCUUUCCCAGUGACAGUACAAUAGACCCUGGAAGGAAAGAUACGCACUGGGUGAUGAACUCCGGACCGUCCAUUCUUGCCCAGUAAAAACAAAUUUCAAAUUCUCACAAACCGUUUCCUGAAUGCCCAAACCCAUAUGUUCUGUAAGGUCUUCCAUGGUUAAACCAUCUUCUAGUGUGUAACCUAUAUAAGCAUAGACUCCUUCUGUAACAGAGAGCCAUUUUCUACAGAAAGUGAGCCCCUCCAGUGCCUGAUUGAUUGGCUCUGCUGCAGAAUAAAAGACAACUUGCUGAUCCA